AUGCAAAGAACUUUGAAAAGAGAGUUAAACAGGGCUUGAAACCGUUAAGAGUGAAGCGAAGGAGGCCAGUGAUCAUGGGGCCAGAUCCCCAAGCGGCCUGACCUGCAAAGGUUGGGCGUCGUAGCGUUCUGGUUUUUCCCGGGGCAGCGCCGGCCGGGGGUGGGUGUCAACAGGAUUGGGGUUGAGGCAUUUACUUGUCACCCCUUUCCAUCCAGCUUGCACCCUGGCCGAGGGAUCCACGACGCAAGUUGUGUGAGGGCGCUGUCAAAAUGGCCUUCUCCACCCCGUCUUGAAACACGGACCAAGGAGUCUAACAUACCCGCGAGUGUUUGGGUGGUUAAAACCCAAGCGCGCAAUGAAAGUAAACGGCGGCUCUGCGCCGCUGUCUGGUGGGAACCCUACCCUUGUAGUUGGGGGCACCAUCACCCAACCCCGAUCCCCUUGGGGUGGUUGGUUUUGAGGCAGAGCGAGUAUGAUGGGACCCGAAAGAUGGUGAACUAUUCCUGAGUAGGGCGAAGCCAGAGGAAACUCUGGUGGAGGCUCGUAGCGAUGCUGACGUGCAAAUCGCUCGUCGAACUUGGGUAUAGGGGCGAAAGACUAAUCGAACCAUCUAGUAGCUGGUUCCCUCCGAAGUUUCCCUCAGGAUAGCGGGAGCAAAUGCAAGUCAGUAUCAUCC
rnacentral:rRNA from 1 species